GGAAGACAAAUGAUAGAAGGAUGAAGAGUGACCCAUCUUCAAAGCAUCUCUGAAGGGACUUUGGUGCCAUUGAACAUCAAAGACUGAACACUGUUACCACAGACCAAGUCCCUUAUUUUUUUAAAAAGACACAACCAACCCAGAGAGGCAAAUUAGCCCUUGGUUAUACAAGAAGUUGUAAGAAGCAGCAUAUCUCUUAUGUCUUUUCUUUGCAGUUGCUACAGAGUAAAAGAAAAUCAAUUCGGUGUAUUCUCCAGGAGUAUGGAGGAAAACAGCCCUUAUUUCAAAAAAUUUUGGAAGGAAGAAAACCAAAAUAAUUUGUGUGGUCAUUGUUUUGUAAUACUGAUGGUGAAAUGCAUGUGAAUUAUCCAGACACAUCUUUAUUUCAGCCAUCCUAAAAUUUUGACUAGAAUUACAUAUUAAACUCUAAUUGCAUAAAUGUAAUUAAAAUAUCAGCUCAUCAAUGAUUCAUAUUUAAAACACACAAAUCUUUCAAAGAAGUAUCAAUUAUAUGAACUUACAUGACAAGAAUAAAAAAAUGACAAUUAGGUAUCAGAAGAAAUCUCAAAGUCACAUGAAUGGCAAUAUUUUUCUUUUCCUAAGGAAGCUAAGAACAUUUAUUAUUACCUGAUUACUAACCUUUUAUUUUCAUGACUUAGAAGAAAACUAGUUAAGAAAUCAUAGUACUUUUGCUUACUCUUCCCAAACACAGUGUGUCAAUAAACAUUUAUUGCUAUAUUUCUUACAUAAAAGGGAUAUUUUAGGUGAUAAGUGUUUGUUUUAAUGUUGCAUACAUACACAACAAACAAAAUGCUAAUUUUCAGCAAGUUUGAUAUGCUUUAUUUUUGCUUCCUCCCCUGAAUUUGCUUUGUGAGAUUAUUAUACAGGUUAUGAUUUUGGGGGCCUUGGAAACCUAAGUAGGACUUUAUUCUUUUCUUUGAAUUUGAGAGUUUAACUACAUGUACGUAACAAUGUGCAAUCCAUCUUUAUGCAAAUAGUCUAAAAAGGCAAUGUGCCUGAAGGGCUGUUUUAUGGCAUUAUUUGGUUUUAUAUCUUUGCAAUCAACACUAUGCAGCUAACAUGGCC
rnacentral:lncRNA from 1 species